rnacentral:rRNA from 1 species
AUUGAACGCUGGCGGCAGGCCUAACACAUGCAAGUCGAACGGAGCGGCGGUCGGGGGAGUAAUGCCUAGGUAUCUGACUGGUAGUGGGGGAUAACGUCCGGCAACGGGCCCUAAUACCGCAUACUAUCAGAUGAGCCUAGGCCGGAUUAGCUAGUUGGUGGGGUAAAGGCCUACCAUGGCGACGAUCCGUAACUGGUCUGAGAGGAUGACCAGUCACACUGGAACUGAGACACGGUCCAGACUCCUACGGGAGGCAGCAGUGGGGAAUAUUGCACAAUGGGCGAAAGCCUGAUGCAGCCAUGCCGCGUGUAUGAAGAAGGUCUUCGGAUUGUAAAGCACUUUAAGUUGGGAGGCGUUACCAACAGAAUAAGCACCGGCUAACUUCGUGCCAGCAGCCGCGGUAAUAC